CUAUGCGCCUUGCCAGCCCGCUCAGGUGUGCCAGCCGCCGCGGUAAUACGGAGGAUCCGAGCGCUAUCCGGAUUUAUUGGGUUUAAAGGGUGCGUAGGCGGUUUGAUAAGUUAGAGGUGAAAUGUCGGGGCUCAACCCGAAACUGCCUCUAAUACUGUUGGACUAGAGAAUAGUUGCGGUAGGCGGAAUGUAUGGUGUAGCGGUGAAAUGCUUAGAGAUCAUACAGAACACCGAUUGCGAAGGCAGCUUACCAAACUAUAUCUGACGUUGAGGCACGAAAGCGUGGGUAGCAAACAGG
rnacentral:rRNA from 1 species